rnacentral:rRNA from 1 species
GUUGAGUUUUAAUUUGAGAGUCCUCAUUUUUAGCUUUAAUUUUUAGUUUAUGUAUGAUUAUUUAUUUAAAUUUUAAAAAUUUAAAUUUAAAUUUUUUUUUUUUUUAAAAAAAUAAAUAAAUACUUAAUUUAUGUUAAAGUAUUAUUUGACCUACAAUUUUAUUUAAAUAGUUAUAUUUUAUAAAUAAAAUAUAUAAAUUGGAAAAAAAAGUAAAUUAAUUUUUAUAUUUAUUUGAAUUUUUUUUAGUUUCGGUACAAA